AUCAUCAUCAGGUGCAUUUAAAUGUGUAUUGUUUCUCACCUUUACCUUGGGACACGGCAGCCGCCAGCAGCAGCACGGAGAAGAGCAGCGCGGAGCACACACGGACAGCCAUGCCUGGUGAACGGUCUCUGACACUUCCUGUAAGUCUUCCGGUGACACAG